GUGCUCACUUCAGCAGCAUGUAUACUAAAACUGGAACAAUACAGAGAAGAUUAACAUGGCCUUUGCACAAGGAUGACACACAAAUUCAUGACGCGUUCCAUUUUUUU